GAUGAACGCUGGCGGCGUGCCUAAUACAUGCAAGUCGAGCGAACAGACGAGGAGCUUGCUCCUCUGACGUUAGCGGCGGACGGGUGAGUAACACGUGGAUAACCUACCUAUAAGACUGGGAUAACUUCGGGAAACCGGAGCUAAUACCGGAUAACAUGUUGAACCGCAUGGUUCAACAGUGAAAGACGGUCUUGCUGUCACUUAUAGAUGGAUCCGCGCCGCAUUAGCUAGUUGGUAAGGUAACGGCUUACCAAGGCAACGAUGCGUAGCCGACCUGAGAGGGUGAUCGGCCACACUGGAACUGAGACGCGGUCCAGGCUCCUACGGGAGGCAGCAGUAGGGAAUCUUACGCAAUGGGCGAAAGCCUGACGGAGCAACGCCGCGUGAGUGAAGAAGGUCUUCGGAUCGUAAAACUCUGUUAUUAGGGAAGAACAAAUGUGUAAGUAACUAUGCACGUCUUGACGGUACCUAAUCAGAAAGCCACGGCUAACUACGUG
rnacentral:rRNA from 1 species